rnacentral:lncRNA from 1 species
UGAUAAAUAUAAUAUCCAUAUAUCUUUUUUACUUGAGUGAAUUUUUAAGAAUCUGUAUUUUAGCGAACAACACCUCCUUUAAAGUUUCUCCUUGUCAUGCAUAAAAUCGUGUAAAGAGAAUAGAUACAUGAGAUGUUUGUUUACUACAGAUGUAGAGAAUGUACUUUUUUGUGUAUACAAACCUGCAAUAUGAUAAUUUCCGAUGUGAUUUUGACCUAGGCAUUUAGUUUGUUCAGGCAAGGUUGUAGGAGUAAAGUUGAAAAGGGUUUGAGCUCCAGGAAAUUGAAAGCUACUUAUGAGACACCUCCUGAAAUUUGACUUGAAGAGUUGCUGAUCACCACAACAAAGUCUGGAAUAAGGCUUGGUUUUAAGAAAAAAGGAAAUGGUAGAACAUAUUAGUUCAAGAAGUCAAUUAUGAACUUUUUCUUUUUUGCAAGGGACUGAGUUUCUGCAGGUGUGAUCUUGGAAAAAUAAGUGGUGAGGAAUAUUCAAAUUCUGUUUUCCUUAUUCUAGUUAUCACUGUAAGCUUAUGUUUAUAUUUCUAACUUUGUGUAACCAACUCCAAUGUAAAGUUUGUCUUGUAUAGUGGUUUUUAUAGCUUCUUGAGUGAGAUUGACUGGGCAAAAGUCUAAACAGGUUUCCUGAUGACUCCAUAAUUCUUGUCCAUUAGUGAUAUCUGCAUUAUUUUUCUGCUUUAAAUGGAGGAAGGUCUGGUUUAAAACUUCAGCAAAGACAUCUGGAAUGAUAAUAUCUCUCUUACAGCACUUCUGGGCUGAGAUUUUUCUACUUCAGUUGAUGGACACAGAGUUUGCUAAGAGAGUGUUUUAUUGGUGCAAUCCACAAUUUUUUUUCUAGCCGUUUGAUAAGGCCUUAUGUUUUUAGUUGGAUCUGUAACUAGAUUAAACAUCUCCACCACAUCCCUGUUUUCACCAUUGAUUUAGCUGAGAAAGAACUUGCUAGGCCAUGUGAGUUGCAAAAAUUAUGUUGUGCAGAUACAUAUAAUUGCUAAAACUAUGAAAUGUAGACUUGCUGUAGAAAAUUUAUGAAUUCAACAAUGAAGGAUAGAGUGAUGCAGGAAGAGGUGCUUAUAUAUAUCUUAUACAAAGUGUCAGAAAGAAGUUUUAUAUAUCCUGUAGAUGGUUCUUGGCCAUCUUGUGUGAUAGAAUGAGACAGAACAUUUCUGAUUGGUCGUCAGUCUUCCCAUUUUUAACUUUUGGAGAAGGAAUAAAUCUUUUGGUGAAUGACAAGUAAAGGUGUGGUAU